AAGCAGACUGUAUAAAGCACCUCCCAGACCUAACCCGAGUUGAAGUCUAAGCAGAGCCCAGCUCCCAACCAGGUGUGAGUUUGGUCAUCCCAAAACGAUGACAGCAGGAAAUCUCAUUGCUGUCUCUGUGACUCCACAGUCUCUGCAGCUGCUCUGUUCAGGGCCCAUUACCUGGCUUGUUGUGGGCGUGCUGGGUCUGGUGGUUAUUGGCAUGGUCACCUACUACGUGGUGAAAGAGUUGAACAAGAUGACCUAUAAAAUCUAUAAAACGGAGUGACAGGAAUCCCCGCCAGGCACCCAGUGGAGAGAAGGCUCCCACCCUCACUGGAAUGUUUCAGGGCAGCAUGCUACACGUGUUUUAAAAUUUGAAUGUGAGCAAAAUAAAUUUCUGGACAAAAAAAUACAAAUUAAUUAAACACAAUGAUUUGAGCA